GUUUGCUGCUAUUGUUGCCCAGGGUUUUGCAAUGAAGUUCUCCAUAAUGAGUGUUGGGUUCAUUUUAUUUUCUUCAAGUUUACUUGGCAAUUGAAAUGGGCUGCAAAUUCAGAGGAAGGCUACUAACUUGUUGAUUAGCUUCUGAUAAUCUAUUGUCUAUUGAAUUUGGUGAUCAACUGCUGCCUUUUGUAAUUGGGAUCACCAUAACUAAUAACGUGAAUGGCCCUGAAGCUUUAGAAAUGAAACGUACUGCAUAUAAGUUUAGUUCUUGAAAUAUAUGCAGUACUCGUGAAUUUUAUAGAUAUCUAAUCAUUGAG
rnacentral:misc_RNA from 1 species